CGAACGAGAAAGUUUCUUCGGAAGUGAUUAAAGUGGCGCACGGGUGAGUAACGCGUAGACAAUCUGCCCUUCAGUUCGGGACAACUUUUCGAAAGGGGAGCUAAUACCGGAUAACAAUGUUUGACAUAAGUUGAAUAUUUGAAAGCUCCGGCGCUGAUGGAUGAGUCUGCGUCCCAUUAGCUUGUUGGUGCGGUAGUGGCGCACCAAGGCCGCGAUGGGUAGCGGGUUUGAGAGGACGAUCCGCCACACUGGAACUGAGACACGGUCCAGACUCCUACGGGAGGCAGCAGUGGGGAAUAUUGCACAAUGGAGGAAACUCUGAUGCAGCAAUGCCGCGUGAGUGAAGAAGGCCCUUGGGUCGUAAAGCUCUUUUAUGGGGGAAGAUGAUGACGGUACCCCAAGAAUAAGCACCGGCUAACUACGUGCCAGCAGCCGCGGUAAUACGUAGGGUGCGAGCGUUGUUCGGAAUUACUGGGCGUAAAGGGCGCGCAGGCGGAGGUGCAAGUCGGAGGUGAAAGCCCGGGGCUCAACCCCGGAGGGUCUUUCGAAACUGCAUCUCUAGAGAGGGUCAGGGGCCGGCAGAAUUCCUGGUGUAGAGGUGAAAUUCGUAGAUAUCAGGAGGAAUACCGGUGGCGAAAGCGGCCGGCUGGGGCCACUCUGACGCUGAGGCGCGAAAGCGUGGGGAGCAAACAGGAUUAGAU
rnacentral:rRNA from 1 species